CAAAUGAACGCCGCUAAACUAGACCUUAUAAGGCUUUGAAUAUUGCGUUACUGAAUGCAGUUAUGUUACUGAAGCCAGCAACCUCAGAGUUGUUAAACAAGCUUUGUUGUAGUUAGCCUACCACUAAUAUAUUUUGUCAUGCUAACAGGUUAGAGAUAAUGGUGACGAGCGUUCGCUGGAGCAGAGGGCGACUGCAUCAAUCUGGAGUGGUGGAUGAGAUGCUUUUGCUCAUUAGCGAGUUAGUUCAGGAAGCCAACAACAACCUGUUGCUUCUGGUUUCACCGUACCUCGAAUGGGAGGACAGACUGGAGGAAGGCCUUACCCUCCUGCUGGCCUUAACUUCUCUGCUAAACAGAUUCCGGAGAUCGUGGGUGUCUCAAGAAGAACAGUGAACCGACGGUUAAGACAGCACAAUUUCAUCUUUUACAGACCAGAUGAUGCACUUGAUCUGAAGGUGCUGCUAUUCGGAGUAUGUCCCACAGGCUUCGGAGGAGAACCCAUCGAGUGGCAGGGUCAAAUUCGCUGUGGUAUCUUGAUCGCAACCACAAGCUCUUAAAGUAAGUGGCUUGUUUUACUGUGAUUCGUUAAUUUGCCCUAACUGUGUCCCUAGCCAAUGACAAGCUGAUUAUUUUAUUAGUUUUGAAUUUAAAAUAAGAUUUCAGCUUCACAUGAAUGGAAUAGAGGUUGGACUUUUCUUUCUGUUAAACGCCCAACAUGUUGCACAGAAAUGUACACAAAUCAUUUUGGCUGCAUUCAAGCCAUUCAUAUUUUUUUUGUUAUUUAUAAAAUAAGAUGUGCAAUUGAAAUCUUUCGUUUUCCCUUCCUUCCUCUCUUAGGCGGAGGAUUGUAAUCCAUGGAAGAAUCGAUGGGAUCAGCCGACUGGUGGUUUUCCUGAAGGCUUCUAACAACAACAGAAGUGACAUUGUAACAGACCUGUUUUCGGAAGCAGUCGCCCAGUUUGGUGUCCCAUCCAGAGUCACAUCUGACUAUGGAGGGGAAAACAACGCCAUUUGUCUCCUCAUGGAUGUCUUCCGAGGAUCAACCCGAGGGAGCACUCAUAAUCAACGCAUUGAAAGACUGUGGGGCGAUAUCUGGAGAGGCGUGACAAAAAAAACGCAGAGUCCUACGUAGUGUGGUCAGGUCUGCUGAGUUUAUCAUCGACAGGAAGCUCCCAGCCCUACAGGACACCUACCACACACGAUGCCUCAGGAAAGCUGGCAAGAUUCUAAAAGACUGCUACCACCCAUCUUUCAGUCUCUACCCCGCUGCUUUCUUGACAGCUGGCAGGAUUCUAAAAGACUGCUACCACCCAUCUUUCAGUAUCUACCCC